GUUCUGGAGGAGGUGACCUGCUACACCCCUCACUACAUGGAAGAGACGGAGUCUAUCUUUGACCAAUCACAGGAGGAGAGGAAGAGGAUCAGCAAUGAUCCACAAUUGACGUCACCAACAAUGAGAGGAUGGCUACACCCGCUGUGACUAGGAGGUGUGAAGGCUGUGUAUAAUGAGCUCCACAACAUUCUCAUGGCCAUCAAUGAGUGGGACAAACUGCGCUGUUGGAAGAACACCCACAGACCGGGCAUGCCCACUGACUGGCCUCAGUUCCAGGAGUGGGCACCAGAACAUAAAAUUUGAAGAAAGAGGUAGAGGCACAGCAAGGCACAAUAGAGAGACUCAGCGAUCAGCUUGUUGGGGCUGAACUGGGAGCAUAGUACUGUAGCGGUGGGACAGAGGAGACGGCAACAGACAGGGCUUCGUCCUGAGACCUAUCCUACGAAUCAGGUUUGAGGAAUUAGCAAGGUAACUUUGGUCAACUCUGAGUUUAACUUGGGCUACACUACAUGA